AGCAAACAUUUCCCGGACGAAUAUAAAAGAAAAAGACGAAUAAAUACAGUUUUAGUUAAAGGAGCCAUUCCAACUUUAUUUGUACCAGGACAUAUAAAAGAGAGAAUCCCGUCAUCGUAUAUCAAUCGGGACAUAGCUCUACCUUCGAUAUCACAAGCUCCA